AACGCGAAGAACCUUACCCAGGCUUGACAUCCUUGGAAUUUCUCCGAAAGGAGAAAGUGCUUUAUUGAGCCAAGUGACAGGUGAUGCAUGGCCGUCGUCAGCUCGUGUCGUGAGAUGUUUGGUUAAGUCCAUUAACGAGCGCAACCCUUGUGAUUAGUUGAAUUUUUCUAAUCAGACUGCCCUGGUAACAGGGAGGAAGGAGGGGAUGAUGUCAGGUCAGUAUUUCCCUUACGUCUGGGGCUACAAACACGCUACAAUGGCCGGUACAAAGGGCAGCCAAGUCGCAAGACGGAGCAAAUCCCAUCAAAGCCGGUCUCAGUUCGGAUAGCAGGCUGAAACUCGCCUGCUUGAAGUCGGAAUCGCUAGUAACGGCAGGUCAGCUAUACUGCCGUGAAUACGUUCCCGGGCCUUGUA
rnacentral:rRNA from 1 species